AGAAAAGCAACUAAAAGGAGCCUGGCUAAGGCUGGUCUGCCAGUAUGUCACUCCUACUUUGUUCAUGCUUCACACAAGUGUCAAUGAGUAAGUGAAGUACAUGCAGUGGAAAAUCAGAUCUGAUUUUUUUUUUCUUUUUUGUUUAGAUGUUAGAAAACAUGAAUUUAAAUUCAGAACAUCUGCCUUCUAUGACCAUAUUCCUGCCCCCUUUUUACUUGCUUUUUACAAAUAUUCAUGUGCAUGUAUUAUUGUUUCCAAGGAUGUAUGGAGAAUAACAGCUCUACAUAUGAAGACAUGUAUUUGCAUGAUAUACGUGGAGGAUACAGCUGUGCAGGCUUAUGAAAUAAGAGCAGACAUUUCCUUUCCCCAGCUCAUGGAUCUUCCCUCCUCAAACUAAACAUUUGUAGUGUCUGGGAAAGAAGGAAUCUGUCCUGAACAACAAUAACAAUAACAAAAUUAUUUCUUCCCACUGGUGUAAUAAUCCAGUUCACAAGCUUUGAGACAUAGCCUGUGCCUUGAAGAUUUUGCCAUCCAUUUGUGUUGAAUCACUGGCUUAAGACCAAGGCUUAAGAAGAAGUGCAACCAUAUCGAUAAUUUACUCGAAGUAAUGUGUGUACUUAUUUUUAGCUAAUGGAAUAUUACUAUUAUAUUAAUUAAAGUUCACAUAAUAUUGUGUUACACAUAAGCUCUUAAAGGUUUUCUCAGUAUAAAACCAAUAUGCCAUUCUGACUAUUAAUUGUCUUCAUAUUCCAUUCAUAUUGGCUCUGUACAUCACUUCUAGCAUUGUCUAAUGAAACCAUGUCUUAAACCUAUAUAGAAGUGGUAUUUGCCAUCAUCACACACUGCACACAACUCAUAAUAUCAAAAUACUUUUAUAAAGUAAAUUUAAACAAACAAACAAACAAUGUUUGGCAUAAUCCUAUUAAACCAGACUUAAGAGCUACUCCUUUCAUGCAGAAUGCAUACUAAACAAAAGGACACAGAAAUGCAGCCUUAGCAAACGCAUCGCUAUGGCCGUUGGGUGUCACUGUGGAUCCAUACAGUUUUACACAAAAUACCUUCUUCGGCAGUACAAAUGUUUCUGGUCCUGUGAACAGCACGUGCCCUCUUAACUGAACAUUCCUACAGAGAAGACAGGAAAGGAGAGUGAGUGUCU